GAUGAACGCUGGCGGCGUGCCUAAUACAUGCAAGUCGAGCGAACAGACGAGGAGCUUGCUCCUCUGACGUUAGCGGCGGACGGGUGAGUAACACGUGGAUAACCUACCUAUAAGACUGGGAUCACUUCGGGACACCGGCGCUAAUACCGGAUAAUAUAUUGAACCGCAUGGUUCAAUAGUGAAAGACGGUUUUGCUGUCACUUAUAGAUGGAUCCGCGCCGCAUUAGCUAGUUGGUAAGGUAACGACUUACCAAGGCAACGAUGCGUAGCCGACCUGAGAGAGUGAUCGCCCACACGGGAGCGGGGACACGGUCCAGACUCCUACGGGAGGCAGCAGUAGGGAAUCUUCCGCAAUAGGCGAAAGCUUGACGGAGCAACGCCGCGUGAGUGAUGAAGGUCUUCGGAGCGUAAUACUCUGUUAUUAGGGAAGAACAAAUGUGUAAGUAACUAUGCACGUCUUGACGGUACCUAAUCAGAAAGCCACGGCUAACUACGUG
rnacentral:rRNA from 1 species